CUGGCGGCGUGCCUAACACAUGCAAGUCGAACGGUAACAGGGACUUCGGUCCGCUGACGAGUGGCGCACGGGUGAGUAACGCGUGGAGUUACCUACCCAUCAGUGAGGAACAACCUGGAGAAAUCCAGGCUAAUACCGCAUACGACCUUCGGGUGAAAGAGGGGGAUCUUCGGACCUCUCGCUGAUGGAUGGUUCCGCGUCCGAUUAGUUAGUUGGUAAGGUAAUGGCUUACCAAGACGAUGAUCGGUAGCUGGUUUGAGAGGAUGAUCAGCCACACUGGAACUGAGACACGGUCCAGACUCCUACGGGAGGCAGCAGUGGGGAAUUUUGCACAAUGGGCGCAAGCCUGAUGCAGCGACGCCGCGUGCGGGAAGAAGGCCUUCGGGUUGUAAACCGCUUUCAACAGGGAAGAAGGAAUGAGGGUCAAUACCCCUCUGCCUUGACGGUACCUGUAGAAGAAGCCCCGGCUAAUUUCGUGCCAGCAGCCGCGGUAAUACGAAAGGGGCAAGCGUUGUUCGGAUUUACUGGGCGUAAAGAGAUCGUAGGUGGCUUGUUAAGUCGGAUGUGAAAUCCCGGGGCUCAACCCCGGAACUGCAUUCGAUACUGGCAGGCUUGAGUUCGGGAGGGGGAAGCGGAAUUCCGUGUGUAGCAGUGAAAUGCGUAGAUAUACGGAGGAACACCUGAGGCGAAGGCGGCUUCCUGGACCGAUACUGACACUGAGGAUCGAAAGCGUGGGUAGCAAACAGGAUUAGAUACCCUGGUAGUCCACGCCCUAAACGAUGUCUACUAGCCGUUGCGGGUAUCGACCCCUGCAGUGGCGCAGCUAACGCAAUAAGUAGACCGCCUGGGGAGUAC
rnacentral:rRNA from 1 species